GGUAACGAGUUUAACUCCCAACCCAAUGUGAACCAUACCAAACUGUUGCCUCGGCGGGGUCACGCCCCGGGUGCGUCGCAGCCCCGGAACCAGGCGCCCGCCGGAGGGACCAACCAAACUCUUUCUGUAGUCCCCUCGCGGACGUUAUUUCUUACAGCUCUGAGCAAAAAUUCAAAAUGAAUCAAAACUUUCAACAACGGAUCUCUUGGUUCUGGCAUCGAUGAAGAACGCAGCGAAAUGCGAUAAGUAAUGUGAAUUGCAGAAUUCAGUGAAUCAUCGAAUCUUUGAACGCACAUUGCGCCCGCCAGUAUUCUGGCGGGCAUGCCUGUCCGAGCGUCAUUUCAACCCUCGAACCCCUCCGGGGGGUCGGCGUUGGGGAUCGGGAACCCCUAAGACGGGAUCCCGGCCCCGAAAUACAGUGGCGGUCUCGCCGCAGCCUCUCCUGCGCAGUAGUUUGCACAACUCGCACCGGGAGCGCGGCGCGUCCACGUCCGUAAAACACCCAACUUCUGAAAUGUUGACCUCGGAUCAGGUAGGAAUACCCGCUGAACUUAAGCAUAUCAUAAGGGGGGAGGAA
rnacentral:rRNA from 1 species